CCUACGGGAGGCAGCAGUGGGGAAUAUUGGGCAAUGGGCGAAAGCCUGACCCAGCAACGCCGCGUGAAGGAAGAAGGCUUUCGGGUUGUAAACUUCUUUUGACAGGGAAGAGCAGAAGACGGUACCUGUCGAAUAAGCCACGGCUAACUACGUGCCAGCAGCCGCGGUAAUACGUAGGUGGCAGGCGUUGUCCGGAUUUACUGGUUGUAAGGGGCGUGUAGCCGGGCUGACAAGUCAGAUGUGAAAUCCGGGGGCUCAACCCCGGAACUGCAUUUGAAACUGUGGGUCGUGAGUAUCGUAGAGGAGGGAGGAAUUGCGAGUGGAGCGGUGAAAGGCGUAGAUAGUAGGAGGAACACCAGUGGCGAAGGCGGCCUGCUGGACGACAACUGACGGUGAGGCGCGAAAGCGUGGGGAGCAAACAGGAUUAGAUACCCCAGUAGUC
rnacentral:rRNA from 1 species